CGACCGGCGCACGGGUGAGUAACGCGUGGGUAACCUGCCUCAUACAGGGGAUAACAGUUGGAAACGGCUGCUAAUACCGCAUAAGCGCACAGUACCGCAUGGUACGGUGUGAAAAACUCCGGUGGUAUGAGAUGGACCCGCGUCUGAUUAGGUAGUUGGUGGGGUAACGGCCUACCAAGCCGACGAUCAGUAGCCGACCUGAGAGGGUGACCGGCCACAUUGGGACUGAGACACGGCCCAA
rnacentral:rRNA from 1 species